UCCACCCUGUUCUCCCAACUCAUAACCAAGUCUUGGUCACUGAGAUUGGGCAAUGCUGUCCCUGGCUGACGGUCUCCCUGCUUCCAAUCUUUUUCUGCAUGGGCCUGGCUGACUCCACCCCUACAGGAACUAGCUAGGCUGGGCCAGCCAGUGGAGGAGAAGCUGGAGAGGUGGGCAGACAGGCUGUGCUGAGAAUGUUGAUCUUCAGAGCAGUAGGGAGCCAUGUAAGAUAUGUGAGCAGGGCAGCAACAUAAGCAGAUCUGGUGUCUAAGUGCUCAUGUUGAAGCUGCUGGAGGACUGCCUGAAGAAGCAGGGCACUCAGGGAGCAUGGAUUAAAUUGACUGGAAAGGCUACAGGGAACCGGGUUCCACGGAGCCCACCAGGAUACUGAAACUGAAGCACCACGGAGUGAAUGAACUUGCCCAAGGUCACACCAUGGACAGGAUGGUCAGCGAGAAGCUUGCUGGAGACGGCGGCGGCGGCGGCGGCGGCGGCCCGAAGAAGUGGAGCGCAGAGAGCAAGCCCGGCG